rnacentral:misc_RNA from 1 species
AACUGAUACUACCUGCGGGAACCUGCGGAGGGAUCAUUACUGAGUGUAGUGUUACUAUGUAGCCGCCUCCCACCCUUGAUUAUUUAUCCUGUUGCUUCGGCGAGACGUCUUUUUGCAAAAAAAAGCCGUCGACAAAAGAGAAAUACGAGUUCAUAACCAGCUAUUAAUUUAGUUCGGUUUAGAACAGUGUUUUUGUGGGCGUGAGCUCGCCGAAGGUUUUCAAAACUCUGAUAAUUUUGA